GGGCGCCAUAACUUGGCGUAGUGCAAAUAAAGGAAAACGAAGAACCGAAGCGCUGAGGACAGGUGUCCACUCUUCGCAGUGUAGCAGAUACUGACACAGUGGCUAAUGCUAAUGUGAUCACGGGUAAAGUGCUGGUGGCUCGAGUCCUCUCUCCCUCCCUCUUCUUGGGCGUGCAUGGGUGUAUCCACUCCAGUCUCAGGUAUGUAUGUUUAUUGUCGCAGAUAAUAAUAUUAAUAUUUUCUUUGAUCCAGGUGCUGCUGCAAUCGGCUCGCUGAGUCACUGCUGCUUUGUCUUCAGCUGCUUUGUCUCAAGCAUUUCUUUCCACCACCUGAAAUCCAAUCUGCAUAACGCUAUCGGUGAUCCGGCGACUGCACCACAUCCACGACACAGAGCAAAUCCCUGGUUGCUUUGUGCAGCCCUUGUGAUGGCCACAUGCUCCAGGCCUGGGAGUGGUCUUGAACUGGGGCUCUGUCCCCUCUUCAGUGUGAAUGAUUGAAUGAGUGUGUGAAAGUGUUGGUUGUGUAGGUGACAGUAUUGAUAUGUGUUUACAUGUAUCUUUUUUGUUAAUUUUGGUUUGUUCUUUUGAUUGCAGAACCUGUUAAGUGUUUUAUUUCUUUCCCUUCAUAGUGGCUGGAGGCCAGUGGUGGCGGUGCUUGCGACCUGGUGGUGGCAUCCCUCUGUCUUGUGUGCUGUGUUUCCGGUGGUGGGGGUAUUUUCUUGUGUGUGUUUGCCACAGGUUUGGUGAUUUAAGUUGAUUUAUUUUUAUUUUGGAGGGUCCCUCCUCUGCACUAGCUCGGUCCCAUCCACUAGGCCUCAGCCAGAGUAAAUAUCCCCUUUUCCCCUGACUGAGUUUUAGUGCAUGGAUGUCAUUUCCUGGACCGGUACCGUCCUGCAGGAUGUCUGGAUCGACAGACUCCUGGACUAGACCCGACCCGAUAAGAUUUGUUCACACUACCAACUCAUGACCGCAUAGUACAUCCGUUUACUUCUGAAUGUAGAGAAUAUUUAUUAAAAUAUUUAUUGUUAUUGUUUCUGUACUUUUAUACAGCAAAACGAAGCGCAGUUGAAACGCCGAUCCAAUGGAGCAUUCGGAAGUGCAGCACCUGGAGCAGGCAGGGCAGGAGGAGCUCAUGUCGGUGUUACUGGGAAACGUCCAGUUAAUGGACAACAUGAACAGAAUGCUGAUGGAGAGCUCGGCCCAAAAAUGAAAAUGCUUUUCCAUUAUUUAUCAUUGUUUAUCUUUGGUGUGUCUUUGCAGUGUGGUGUGAAUAAAAGUCGCUGUAAUAACAGA